rnacentral:rRNA from 1 species
AACGAACGCUGGCGGCAUGCCUAACACAUGCAAGUCGAACGAGACCUUCGGGUCUAGUGGCGCACGGGUGCGUAACGCGUGGGAACCUGCCCUUAGGUUCGGAAUAACUCCCCGAAAGGGGUGCUAAUACCGGAUAAUGUCUUCGGACCAAAGAUUUAUCGCCUUUGGAUGGGCCCGCGUUGGAUUAGCUAGUUGGUAGGGUAAAAGCCUACCAAGGCGACGAUCCAUAGCUGGUCUGAGAGGAUGAUCAGCCAAACUGGGACUGGGACACGGCCCAGACCCCUACGGGGGGCAGAAGGGGGGAAUUUGGGACAAUGGGCGAAAGCCUGACCCAGCAAGGCCGGGGGGGUGAUGAAGGCUUUGGGGUUGAAAAGCUCUUUUACCCGGGAUGAUAAGAACAGUACCGGGAAAAAAAGCCCCGGCUAACUCCGU